rnacentral:rRNA from 1 species
GUGAGGAAUAUUGGUCAAUGGACGAGAGUCUGAACCAGCCAAGUCGCGUGAAGGAAGACGGUUCUAUGAAUUGUAAACUUCUUUUGUGCAGGAAUAAAGUGGGUUACGUGUAACCUUUUGUAUGUACUGUACGAAUAAGGAUCGGCUAACUCCGUGCCAGCAGCCGCGGUAAUACGGAGGAUCCGAGCGUUAUCCGGCUUUAUUGGGUUUAAAGGGUGCGUAGGUGGAUUGAUAAGUCAGCGGUGAAAGUUUGCAGCUUAACUGUAAAAUUGCCGUUGAAACUGUCGGUCUUGAGUGUAAAUGAGGUAGGCGGAAUGUGUUGUGUAGCGGUGAAAUGCUUAGAUAUAACACAGAACUCCGAUUGCGAAGGCAGCUUACUGGGAUGCAACUGACACUGAUGCACGAAAGCGUGGGUAUCAAACAGGAUUAGAAACCCUGGUAGUCC